rnacentral:misc_RNA from 1 species
UAUUUUGCAGAAAGAUGUUCCAUGAAUGACCGAACUUCCGAAGGGGACAAGUUGGUGCUGCCCAGUAACACUGAUCGUCGGAAGAUGAAGCCUGGACAACUUCUUGGUUCCACCUCAAAUACCCCACUGGUAGGAUACUCGGUACUCAUGGGCUCCAAAACCAAACUCCAUUCCAUGCACUUCGAUGCCGGAAUGGAAGAUCCCAAGGCCAAACCAGUAAAGGUAGUUAUUUACAGGCGUAAGAUCAUACACGUUUAGAUACAACCUCACGCGAUUGCUCCCUCCAUUACCCUGCUCCUUGUCCGAGCUUGAACUCGAACUGGCGCUCGAGCUCAACGGAAACAACCGCAUUGUUCCGCAAUCAACAGUCCUUCAAUUCCCGCCCCAAUUCUUUAUCAGAAGCUCACCAUC